CUGGCAGAAUCAGGAAGUUGGAAAAAGCUUGAUGAAAAUUUGAAAGAUAAUACUCUUUGCAUCAUCUGACCAGUGAUGUGAAAAUAAGUAAGAAAACAUGCUUCGGACAGUUGAAUCACUUAUAAUUUCAUUCUAGAUACUGUAUUUUGGAAAAAAACGUAAAUUCUCACAUUCAUGGAAAUUGUGGAAGGACUCAUCAUACAUGUAAUUGAAGAGGAAAUCUUUGAGGUUAAGAGAACGCUCACCAAGGAGAUCCAGAAAUGAGUCCAGAGCUAUCAGUACGACAAUCUGAAUAAUUUGUAUUCAUGU
rnacentral:lncRNA from 1 species